GAUAAACGCUGGCGGCGCACAUAAGACAUGCAAGUCGAACGGAAGUCGUUUUAGUGAAUUUGAAAUGAAAGAUUUAUCCGGAUUUGAUGAUGAACUAAAACAAUGGCUUUAGUGGCGGACUGGUGAGUAACACGUAAGCAACCUGCCUGUUAGAGGGGAAUAACAACGAGAAAUCGUUGCUAAUACCGCAUAUGCCAUAUGAACCACAUGGUUCAAGUGGGAAAGGAGUAAUCCGCUAACAGAUGGGCUUGCGUCUGAUUAGAUAGUUGGUGGGGUAACGGCCUACCAAGUCGACGAUCAGUAGCCGGACUGAGAGGUUCAACGGCCACAUUGGGACUGAGAUACGGCCCAGACUCUACGGGAGGCAGCAGUCGGGAAUAUUGCACAAUGGGGGAAACCCUGAUGCAGCGACGCCGCGUGAGCGAAGAAGUAUUUCGGUAUGUAAAGCUCUAUCAGCAAGGAAGAUAAAUGAACGGUACUUGACUAAGAAGCCCCGG
rnacentral:rRNA from 1 species